rnacentral:rRNA from 1 species
UACGUAGGUGGCAAGCGUUGUCCGGAUUUAUUGGGUUUAAAGGGUGCGUAGGGGGCGCGGUAAGUCGGGUGUGAAAUCUCGGAGCUUAACUCCGAAAUUGCAUUCGAUACUGCCGUGCUUGAGGACUGGAGAGGAGACUGGAAUUUACGGUGUAGCAGUGAAAUGCGUAGAGAUCGUAAGGAAGACCAGUGGCGAAGGCGGGUCUCUGGACAGUUCCUGACACUGAGGCACGAAGGCCAGGGGAGCAAACGGG